UCUUUUCUGAUUUUCUGUCUAGUUGUUCUAACAGUUGUUGAAAGAGAGCUGUUGAAACUUCCAGAUAUAAUUAUGGAUUUGACCAUUUCUCCUUUCAGUUCUAUCAGUUUUUGCUUUAUAUAUUUUGUGGCUCUGUUAUUUGGUGCAUGAGCAUUUAGAAUUGCUGUCUUCUUGGUAGAUUGACCUUUUCAUCGUCAAUCUAAAAUGUCCU